AUGCCGGUCGCUCCACAACUGCAAUGUGUUGUCCAUAUGCUUCAGCAGGACACCCAAAAGCUAGAGUUGGUGAAGGUGCGACGACACAUGCUAGGCAUCAGCAACCACCUGGCGGAAGCCAUCAAAAUUCGGCCAGAUAUCCUUGAAGUGGCUUCCGCCAUCAAAAUUCGGCAAGAUAUCCUUGAAGUGGGACUGGUGAGCCCUAGGUGUGAAAAUCGUGGUGUACAGGUUAAAUCUAAUGCCAUGGGUAUUGGCACGGAAAAGCAACUAGGAUGUCAUUACCCCCAAUUCGUUGAACAGAACAAGCAGUCUAGCUGCACCAAUGUUGGUGACCAUCACUCCUUGCUCGAACUGUAG
rnacentral:rRNA from 1 species